GAUGAACGCUGGCGGCGUGCCUAAUACAUGCAAGUCGAGCGAACAGACGAGGAGCUUGCUCCUCUGACGUUAGCGGCGGACGGGUGAGUCACACGUGGAUAACCUACCUAUAAGACUGAGAUAACUUCGGGAAACCGGAGCUAAUACCGGAUAAUAUAUUGAACCGCAGGGUUCAUUAGUGAAAGACGGUUUUGCUGUCACUUAUAGAUGGAUCCGCGCUGCAUUAGCUAGUUGGUAAGGUAACGGCUUACCAAGGCAACGAUGCGUAGCCGACCUGAGAGGCUGAUCGGCCACACUGGAACUGAGACACGGUCCAGACUCCUACGGGAGGCAGCAGUAGGGAAUCUUCCGCAAUGGGCGAAAGCCUGACGGAGCAACGCCGCGUGUGUGAUGAAGGUCUUCGGAUCGUAAAACUCUGUUAUUAGGGAAGAACAAAUGUGUAAGUAACUAUGCACGUCUUGACGGUACCUACUCAGAAAGCCACGGCUAACUACGUG
rnacentral:rRNA from 1 species